AUACGUAGGGUGCAAGCGUUAAUCGGAAUUACUGGGCGUAAAGCGUACGCAGGCGGUUUUGUAAGACAGAGGUGAAAUCCCCGGGCUCAACCUGGGAACUGCCUUUGUGGCUGCAAGGCUAGAGUACGGCAGAGGGGGAUGGAAUUCCGCGUGUAGCAGUGAAAUGCGUAGAUAUGCGGAGGAACACCGAUGGCGAAGGCUAUCCCCUGGGCCUUUACUGACGCUCAUGCACGAAAGCGUGGGGAGCAAACAGGAUUAGAUCCCCUGGUAGUCCACGCCCUAAACGAUGUCAACUGGUUGUUGGGUCUUCAUUGACUCAGUAACGAAGCUAACGCGUGAAGUUGACCGCCUGGGGAGUACGGCCGCAAGGUUGAAACUCAAAUGAAUUGACGGGG
rnacentral:rRNA from 1 species